rnacentral:lncRNA from 1 species
ACCUAAAGUUUGAAAUCUGUGCUCUUUCAAAUUUAAUUUAACAAACAUCUUUUGAUUUAUUGAUUGUUUAUGAUGUUCCAGACCAGGCAAGGGGACCUACACAGAGGAUGAAGAAUAGGACAUAUCUUCAAGGGAGGUUCUUAAUGUAGGAGCAAUUUGAAGUGGAUUCAGUUUUAUAGAUAAUAAGCAUGAGAGUAAAGAUCACAGCAGACAUUUGGUUACUAAAGGACUGGCAGGCUGCAGAAAAAAGAGCCUGGGGACCACCCCCCCUCACCUCUGGUGCAGGCCGGAGCUAGUGUACAUUCUGCUCCUCGGAGUCACUGUGUCAGCCUCGGAAACCCC